AUUGAACGCUGGCGGCAGGCCUAACACAUGCAAGUCGAGCGGAUGACGGGAGCUUGCUCCUUGAUUCAGCGGCGGACGGGUGAGUAAUGCCUAGGAAUCUGCCUGGUAGUGGGGGACAACGUUUCGAAAGGAACGCUAAUACCGCAUACGUCCUACGGGAGAAAGCAGGGGACCUUCGGGCCUUGCGCUAUCAGAUGAGCCUAGGUCGGAUUAGCUAGUAGGUGAGGUAAUGGCUCACCUAGGCGACGAUCCGUAACUGGUCUGAGAGGAUGAUCAGUCACACUGGAACUGAGACACGGUCCAGACUCCUACGGGAGGCAGCAGUGGGGAAUAUUGGACAAUGGGCGAAAGCCUGAUCCAGCCAUGCCGCGUGUGUGAAGAAGGUCUUCGGAUUGUAAAGCACUUUAAGUUGGGAGGAAGGGCAGUAAGUUAAUACCUUGCUGUUUUGACGUUACCGGCAGAAUAAGCACCGGCUAACUCUGUGCCAGCCGCCGCAGUAACAC
rnacentral:rRNA from 1 species